CGGGGCCGGGGCGGGCUCCGGCUGGGGCUCCGCGGCCCCCUGCGGAAGCUGGUGCUGCAGAGUCUCGUGCCGCUGCUGCUGCGCCUGCAUGACCCCAGCAGGGACGCUGCUGAGGUCAGCAGCCCCCGACACCAUCCCACCCCUAUGCCAUCCAACACUCACCACUCCCACCGUGCCUCCCCUCCGACAAUUACAGAGCUCAGAGUGGACCCUGGCCCGCUGUGACCACGCCUUUUGCUGGGGCCUGCUGGAGGAGUUGGUCACCGUGGCCCACUAUGACAGCCCCGAGGCCCUGAGCCACCUCU
rnacentral:lncRNA from 1 species